AGGCUGUUCUUGCAUAUAUACUAAAAAUGGAAUGAUACAGAGGAGAUUACAUGGCCCCUGUGCAAGGAUGACAUGCAAAUUUGUGAAGCGUUCUAUGUUUUA
ensembl:snRNA U6 U6 spliceosomal RNA